rnacentral:rRNA from 1 species
UACGUAGGGGGCGAGCGUUGUCCGGAUUUACUGGGCGUAAAGGGUGAGUAGGCGGUAACGUGUGUCAGAUGUUUAAUCUAUGGGCUCAACCCAUAUCAGCAUUUGAAACUGCGUAACUUGAGUGCAGGAGAGGUAAGUGGAAUUCCUAGUGUAGCGGUGAAAUGCGUAGAUAUUAGGAGGAACACCAGUGGCGAAGGCGACUUACUGGACUGUUACUGACGCUGAGUCACGAAAGCGUGGGGAGCGAACAGGAUUAGAUACCCUGGUAGUCCACGCUGUAAACGAUGAGUGCUAGGUGUUGGCCGAGAGGUCAGUGCCGGAGUAAACGCAAUAAGCACUCCGCCUGGGGAGUACGGUCGCAAGACUGAA